rnacentral:lncRNA from 1 species
AUGUCCAUCAUCACCCCAAGAAACAUAACUUUACUUAGCAAAACCACUCUCCCCACUCACAAGAGCAAGAAGGGGGAGAAUUUUUGCUCUUCUUGGAAAGAACCCACAUCUGACAGUGGAUUUCUGCUCAGCUUCCCUGAAUAUACUUCUGGUUACGCCGCUGGAGGGUGUCAGACCUUGACUCGUGUUAGUGUCGUGUAUUAGGUCAGUGUUGGAGAAUUUCAUCUAUAAUACAUACCAAGCAGAUUCUUUGCCAUCUGUGCCACCAGAGACACCUGGUUAAAAUGUGAUUAAGUCAAAUGUGUUAAGAUGAAGUCAUAUAGAAGGAGGGUGAGCCCUUAAUCCAAUAUGACUGGUGUCUUUCUAAUACGGAG